rnacentral:pre_miRNA from 1 species
AAGACAGGGACGAGGUAGAGCAUGGAUGGAGUUCCCAACAGAACAGUCAAGCUGUUGUGGCUCCACUCAUGCACUGCCUCUUCCCUGGCUU